UUCAACAAUAUGCUAGCAAAUUCAAAGUUUCUAAAAGUUGCAUGUUUUGUUAAGAGUGCAUGAUCAAAAAUAUAUUAAAAGUAUCCCCAUUUUUUGAGUUUACUACCUGAACUAAUGUAAUAUCCCAUAUUUUAAACAAGGACAUAUUAGUUAUUAGCUAAAAAAAAAAAUCAAAUGGGCCUUAGCCCAUCAGAAACCUAAUAAGGGGGGAAAAAUUAAAUUAAGCUAAAGAAAUUAUUGGAGUUAAGAGUUUUGUCAGCAACUCUUGGAAAAAAAAAAAGGAAGAAAGAGUAUUUCUUGGAGUCUCUUCCUGUGAAGGAGCAUGAAAUCGAUUAAAACAGAGAAAAAUAACUAAAUGGAGAAGAAGUGGAACUCUUGCUAUUUCAAGUAUGGAUUUCAAGAGAAUUCAGGUGGUAUUGAAGAGGAUUUCAUUAACUAGCGUUUGAGUUGAUAGCAUCUGGUGAGCCCCGCAUUGCUUCGUGUGGCAAGAGAACUAUUGAUUUGCUAUGUUUAUUUAGUUUCUUUUAAAAACUCUUAGAGUCGCUCCAUUUGUCAUUUCUUUAAUUUGAGUCAAGAUUAGUCCUUCGAAUUGUAGUCAAGUGACUAGUUUGGAACUUUUUCCGUAAUUUGGAGAUGAAUUGGUUUUAUUGCGUGACAAUUUGAUCAUUGAUGGAUAUUAUAUGGGUGGUUUAUAGUUGC